rnacentral:rRNA from 1 species
CCUACGGGUGGCAGCAGUGGGGGAUAUUGGGCAAUGGAGGGAACGCUGACGCAGCAACGCCGCGUGAAUGAUGAAGGUCUUCGGAGUGUAAAGUUCUGUGAUGGGGGAUGAACACAAUGACGGUACCCCAAUAGCAAGCCACGGCUAACUACGUGCCAGCAGCCGCGGUAAUACGUAGGUGGCAAGCGUUAUCCGGAAUGACUGGGCGUAAGGGGUGCGUAGGUGGUUGAGGAAGUUGGCGGUGUAAUUCCGGGGCUCAACCGCGGCGCUACCGCCGAAACUGUUAGACUAGAGUGCAGGAGGGGUAGGUGGAAUUCCUAGUGUAGCGGUGAAAUGCGUAGAUAUUAGGAGGAACAUCAGGGGCGAAGGCGACUUACUGGACUGUAACUGACGCUGAGGCACGAAAGCGUGGGGAGCAAACAGGAUUAGAUACCCGAGUAGUC